rnacentral:rRNA from 1 species
GAUGAACGCUGGCGGCGUGCAUAACACAUUCAAGUCGAACGGGGCAGCAAUGCCUAGUGGCGGACGGGUGAGUAACGCGUGAGCAACCUGCCUGUGUGAGGGGGACAACAGCCGGAAACAGCUGCUAAUACCGCAUGAAGUAUUCGAAUCGCAUGGUUUGAAUACCAAAGAUUUAUCGCACACAGAUGGGCUCGCGUCCGAUUAGCUAGAUGGUGAGGUAACGGCUCACCAUGGCGACGAUCGGUAGCCGGACUGAGAGGUUGAACGGCCACAUUGGAACUGAGAUACGGUCCAGACUCCUACGGGAGGCAGCAGUGGGGAAUAUUGGGCAAUGGGCGAAAGCCUGACCCAGCGACGCCGCGUGAAGGAAGACGGUCUUCGGAUUGUAAACUUCAAACAACAGGGAAGAAACAAAUGACUGUACCUGUUAGGAAGCCACGGCUAACUACGUGCCAGCCGCCGCCGUAAUAC